CAUUCUUUUACCAUUUUUGAUUCAAUGAUAAUGCAUAACCUUAAUAUUAUCAGUUUCUGAAAUCUAUAUAAAUAAUGUAUUAGAAACGGAAACAAUCAUAUUGCAGCAAGGAAAAGAAUAUAAUCAUAUAUGGAAAGUAAUUGUAAUAUUAUAGUACUACAGUGAAAAUAAUAAAUAUGUUUAUUCCCAAAGUUUAUGGGAAAUGUUUUUAUUUGAAAACUGCUUUGAAAAGUUUCCAUGAAAUCGGAAUAUAGUAAAUACCCAGCUAACAUUUUGAUAAAAAUUCCUUUUUAAUGAAAAUUAUUGGAUAUUUAUUAAAUGCAGGUUAAUGAUUUUUAGAAGAAUAAAAAGUUUCUAAUUUAGAGUAAGGUUACAUUAAAGAUGUAACUAAAAGUUGUGGGGAGGUGCAACAUUCAUAUUUUAUGCUAGGCACUCAUGACCUUAACCAUAGCACUGGAGACAUUAUUUAAUCGUGAUAUGUGAAAUAUUUUGUUUGUGUUGCUGAAGAACUAAAAUAUUAAUUGUGAAAUUAAUACAAAAAAUAUAUAUAUUUAUUCUGUAGUAUGUAAAAAUACUGUUGACGUUGAUUGUUGUGAGAAAUAUGAAAUCCCACAAAGAUAAUGGAUUGUAGAUUCAUCGUAAGUGGUAAAGAUAAAAUCUAUUGUGGUAGAUUAAAAUUUCAAUGUUAUAAAGUUAAAUUGAAGAUAUAAAAAAAUGUUUUAAUGCAAUCGACAUGUGAUAGUAGAAGUUAAGGUUUUGUAUUUAGAAAAAUUAAAUGUUAUUUUAAGCACAGAAAUUCUGGUACAGUACUAAUGCAGUAUUUAUUCAGAUGUAUGUAUUAUUGAUUAUAAUAAAUAAAAAAGAAUGUG